rnacentral:rRNA from 1 species
GACGAACGCUGGCGGCGUGCUUAACACAUGCAAGUCGAACGGAAAGGCCCUGCUUUUGUGGGGUGCUCGAGUGGCGAACGGGUGAGUAACACGUGAGUAACCUGCCCUUGACUUUGGGAUAACUUCAGGAAACUGGGGCUAAUCCCGGACAGGAGCUCCUCCUGCAUGGUGGGGGUUGGAAAGUGUCGGCGGUUGGGGAUGGACGCGCGGCUUAUCAGCUUGUUGGUGGGGUAGUGGCUUACCAAGGAUUUGACGGGUAGCCGGCCUGGGAGGGUGACCGGCCACAUAGGCACUGGGAUACGGCCCAGACUCCUACGGGAGGAAGCAGUGGGGAAUAGUGCACGAUGGGCGGAGUGCGGAUGCAGGAACGCCGCGUGCGGGAGGACGGCCUUCGGGUUGUAAACCGCUUUCGCCUGUGACGAAGCGUGAGUGACGGUAAUGGGUAAAGAAGCACCGCCUAACUACGU